CUGUGCUUUAGCAUCUAGUAUUUGUUGUUCAUAAACAUUCAUGUUAUCCAUGACAAUACCCAAUGCCUCUUGUCUUGUGGGGACAUCUGUUUUAUUCUUCAAGCUCAAAAAUGCAUGUUCGUACACUGCUGCAAUGAACUGCGGAUCAGACGCAUCUGCGACACACCACACAAAAAACGUAGUUAAUAGUAAUUUCAUCUUCUUUCUCUACUAGUCAGGGUAAAUAAUUGAAAUAAGUAAUGCGUGGUCAUUUGCGUCGAAAUUGCGUGGCAUGUGAUACUUUGGCCUUGGUCAUGUCAUGUGAAAAACAAAUUUUGGUAAACUAGCUAUCAGGCCAAUCAGAGAGUCAUAUUGUUUCUGUUUUCCUGUUUUUACAGAUGUCUGAGUUUUCAUAUUUCCAAG